rnacentral:tRNA from 1 species
GGUGUCAUAGCUCAGUAGGUAGAGCAACGGACUGAAAAUCCGUGUGUCGCUGGUUCGAUCCCGGCUGACACCA